UGUACUUGUGAAUAAAUUAUUUUGAGUUUGAUAUGGGGUAUCUUAGCCUGGGGAUUUACCUUCUUAUUACCUAAAUAUUGUGCAUAAUGAAGAUUUUUAUUUUUUCUUUCUUUAUACAACUCGUAUAUACUCGACAAGGCAUGGCUGGACAUUUGUUUUUGUAUGUUUUUUGAAAAUUAAUUUAGCCUAUGGGAACAGUGAAUGUCGAAAGAAUUUUAUUAUUAUUGAUGUGAAACUUCUUUAGGCGAAUGAGGGUGAAAUUUUUACGAAACGUCAACAAGUUGUGCAGCGUUUUUGUCGAAGAAAAGGAAGAGCGAGAGUGAUUGAAACCGAUUGAUGAUUCAAGCAACUGAUUUAGUAAUAAAAAUUCCUAUCGAAGUUGACCAUUUAAAACCUAUAAAUCAAUAUAUUUACACAGGUAAGGGAUUGAAACCAUUAUCCAUGUAUAAUUUGAUGAAUUAUAAGGAAUUACCAAAAAGAUUUACAGAGGGAAAUAAGAAAAUUGUUUUUGCGAAUGGACGCGGUUUGAGUGGGAGUUUUGAUGCAUUUUCAGCAAAGAGAAGAAUUUAAAAAUAACUUAUUUUUAUUUAAUUAAAAAUAAAUCGCCAAA